GGUUGACCUCGGAUCAAGUAGGGAUACCCGCUGAACUUAAGCAUAUCAAUAAGCGGAGGAAAAGAAACCAACAGGGAUUACUUUAGUAACGGCGAGUGAAGCGGUAACUGCUCAAAUUUGAAAGCUGCCAACAGGCCGCGUUGUAAUUUGUAGAAGAUGCUUUGGGUGUCGGCCCAGUCUAAGUUCCUUGGAACAGGACGUCAUAGAGGGUGAGAAUCCCGUAUGUGAUUGGUGCCGUCCCCCGUGUAAAGCUCUUUCGACGAGUCGAGUUGUUUGGGAAUGCAGCUCAAAAUGGGUGGUAAAUUUCAUCUAAAGCUAAAUAUUGGCCAGAGACCGAUAGCGCACAAGUAGAGUGAUCGAAAGAUGAAAAGCACUUUGGAAAGAGAGUUAAACAGUACGUGAAAUUGUUGAAAGGGAAGCGCUUGCAAUCAGACUUGCAGGCGGUUGAUCAUCCGAGGUUCUCCCCGGUGCACUCGAUCGUCUUCAGGCCAGCAUCGGUUUCAGUGGUGGGAUAAAGGCUGUGAGAACGUGGCUCUUCGGAGUGUUAUAGCUCACGGUGCAAUGCCGCCUACUGGGACCGAGGACCGCGCUUCGGCUAGGAUGCUGGCGUAAUGGUUGUAAGCGACCCGUCUUGAAACACGGACCAAGGAGUCUAACAUCUAUGCGAGUGUUUGGGUGUCAAACCCAUACGCGUAAUGAAAGUGAACGGAGGUGAGACCCCAUUAGGGCGCAUCAUCGACCGAUCCUGAUGUCUUCGGAUGGAUUUGAGUAAGAGCAUAGCUGUUGGGACCCGAAAGAUGGUGAACUAUGCGUGAAUAGGGUGAAGCCAGAGGAAACUCUGGUGGAGGCUCGCAGCGGUUCUGACGUGCAAAUCGAUCGUCAAAUUUGCGUAUAGGGGCGAAAGACUAAUCGAGCAUGCAUCUUUU
rnacentral:rRNA from 2 species